rnacentral:rRNA from 1 species
UACGUAGGGUGCGAGCGUUGUCCGGAAUUAUUGGGCGUAAAGAGCUUGUAGGCGGUUUGUUGCGUCUGCUGUGAAAAUCCGGGGCUCAACCCCGGACUUGCAGUGGGUACGGGCAGACUAGAGUGUGGUAGGGGAGACUGGAAUUCCUGGUGUAGCGGUGGAAUGCGCAGAUAUCAGGAGGAACACCAAUGGCGAAGGCAGAUCUCUGGGCCGUAACUGACGCUGAGGAGCGAAAGCAUGGGGAGCGAACAGG